ensembl:snRNA U2 U2 spliceosomal RNA
AUCGCUUCUCGGCCUUUUGGCUAAGAUCAAGUGUAGUAUCUGUUCUUAUCAGUUUAAUAUCUGAUACGUCCUCUAUCCGAGGACAAUAUAUUAAAUGGAUUUUUGGAGCUAGGAGUUGGAAUAGGAGCUUGCUCCGUCCACUCCACGCAUCGACCUGGUAUUGCAGUACCUCCAGGAACGGUGCACCCCCU